rnacentral:rRNA from 1 species
CCUCAGCCUGGUUGGUAAUCAGGUGUUGAGUGUAAGUGCACAAGGGAGCUUGACUGUGAGACCGACGGGUCGAGCAGGGACGAAAGUCGGGACUAGUGAUCCGGCGGUGGCUUGUGGAAGCGCCGUCGCUCAACGGAUAAAAGGUACCCCGGGGAUAACAGGCUGAUCUUCCCCAAGAGUCCAUAUCGACGGGAUGGUUUGGCACCUCGAUGUCGGCUCGUCGCAUCCUGGGGCUGGAGUCGGUCCCAAGGGUUGGGCUGUUCGCCCAUUAAAGCGGUACGCGAGCUGGGUUUAGAACGUCGUGAGACAGUUCGGUCCCUAUCCUCUGUGCGCGUAGGAAUAUUGAGAAGGGCUGUCCCUAGUACGAGAGGACCGGGACGGACGAACCUCUGGUGUGCCAGUUGUCCUGCCAAGGGCAUGGCUGGUUGGCUACGUUCGGAAAGGAUAACCGCUGAAAGCAUCUAAGCGGGAAGCCUGCUUCGAGAUGAGUAUUCCCACCCCCUUUGAGGGGUUAAGGCUCCCAGUAGACGACUGGGUUGAUAGGCCAGAUCUGGAAGCCCGGUAACGGGUGGAGGUGACUGGUACUAAUAGGCCGAGGGCUUGUCCUCAGUUG